rnacentral:rRNA from 1 species
GACGAACGCUGGCGGCGUGCUUAACACAUGCAAGUCGAACGGUGAAGCGCCUUCCUUUUUGGCUGGUGUGGAUGAGUGGCGAAAGGGUGAGUAACACGUGAGUAACCUGCUCCCUCCUUCUGGAUAACCGCAUGAAAGUGUCGCUAAUACGGGAUAUUCUGUGUCUGUCGCAUGAUGGGUCUGUGAAAGAUAUCGUUUCGGUGGGGGAUGGGCUCGCGGCCUAUCAGCUUGUUGGUGGGGUGAUGGCCUAGCAAGGCGGUGAGGAGUAGCCGGCAUGGGAGGGUGGACGGUCACAGUGGGACUGAGACACGGCGCAGACUCCGGCAGGAGGCAGCAGUGAGGAAUAGUGCACGGUGGGCGGAAGGCUGAUGCAGCGACGCCGCGUGAGGGAUGGAGGCCUUCGGGUUGUGAACCUCUUUCGCGAGUGAAGCAGGCCUGCCUAGUUUGUGGGUGGGUUGACGGUAGCUGGAGAAGAAGCGCCGGCUAACUACGUG